ACGGUGACAUCAUGUAGAAACACAUGUUCCCGUUCUACCAGAGAAAUUAAGCAACAUCGAGCUUGGUCAGUACCUAGAUGGGUGACCGUUUGGGAAAACCACGUGAUGUU